rnacentral:lncRNA from 10 species
GUGUGACACCUCCCCUUUCUCUCUCUCUCUCUCUCUCUCUCUCUCUCUCUGGCUCUACCACGGUAAGAUGUGCUUGCUUCCCCUUCCGCCAUGAUUGUAACUUUCCUGAGGCCUUCCAGCCAUACUUCUAUACAGCCUGUGGAACUUGAUGGUCGCCCCAUUGCGUAUAGAGGAAAUGGAGGAAAACUUGGAAGUACCGCCUUCCAUACAAAGUCAAGGAUCGAGACCUUCCUCUCCGCGUUCCAGAAUCCCUCAGGAAAUACGCGCGUGCCUUCGCAUCUAGAGCAAGCGCUGCAAGAAUUCACAGAACGGCCAGAAGUUCCCCAUCCCGCUGGUGGCACUCACUGCGUUAGGCGCUCAGCCUCCAGUCCGGGCCGCUUUGGCUUGAAGACGGCCGUUUUCCUUCCUGAUACCUGCUUCUAGUCUUUCUGCAACUUCUGGAUUCCUGUCAUUCUUAUACCUGCUCUGGGCAGCCUUCCAUUCAUUCUGCGAAUUCCGUGAAGCUUUUCAAUAAAUUGCUUUUCUCCAAUUAGCCUAAAUCUCUUUCAGUUAUUGGCAGCCCAGUGCCCUGACCCAGCCAAGCACUGUAGACAGU